GCUCAGAAACUCAAAUGAAUUGACGGGGGCCCGGCGACAAGCAGCGGAGCGUGUGGUUUAAUUCGAUGAUACACGAAGAACCUUACCCAGGCUUGACAUGUUGGUAGUAGGGAUCCGAAAGGUGACCGACCCCUUCGGGGAGCCUUCACAGGUGCUGCAUGGCUGUCGUCAGCUCGUGUCGUGAGAUGUCCGGUUAAGUCCGGUAACGAGCGCAACCCUCGCUGUGUGUUAUAUGUGUCACACGGGACUGCCGGUAUCAAGCCGGAGGAAGGUGGGGAUGACGUCAAGUCAGCAUGGCCUUUAUGUCUGGGGCUACACACACGCUACAAUGGCCAGUACAAUAGGUUGCAAGACCGCGAGGUGGAGCCAAUCCUUAAAGCUGGUCUCAGUUCAGAUUGCAGGCUGCAACUCGCCUGCAUGAAGCUGGAGUUGCUAGUAAACGCGCGUCAGCUAUAGUGCGUUGAAUACGUUCUCGGGCCUU
rnacentral:rRNA from 1 species